rnacentral:lncRNA from 1 species
CACCAAACCACUACAUGAAGCAUAAGCCCAUAAAAUACAGCACAGAUCACUACCUUUACUGCCUAGUGCACAUCAUGCUGUUUUCCUUCUGUGUGAGCAGGUAUCAAGAAGCAGAGUUAAGGCUAGAAACAUGGAGAUCAUUUUCUUUCACUGCGUUAUAUCUGCAGAUGUACACUGAACACUCCUUUAUAUAUCUUUAUCAAUUCAUGUGUAUCUAUUUCUUUUUAUAUAAAUGGGGAAGGCUCACACAUACCCACCAGAAGUCUUACAGCAUGAAGAAAAGAAUGAAGCAAGGAACGAAGCAAAAAUCUCUGAGAGUUACUGUGGUCCAGGAUGCUUCAAUCAUCUCCCCACCAGCCUGAAGGGAUUCAUUCUCUAAGGAGUUCCAAGGAGGUUGGACAAUAUUCUGAAGCAAUAAAAUCCUUUGCACAGCAGGAGAUUUUGAUGUC